rnacentral:rRNA from 1 species
AUUGAACGCUGGCGGCAGGCCUAACACAUGCAAGUCGAGCGGCAGCGACUUAACUGAACCUUCGGGGAACGUUAAGGGCGGCGAGCGGCGGACGGGUGAGUAAUGCCUGGGAAUAUGCCCUGAUGUGGGGGAUAACUAUUGGAAACGAUAGCUAAUACCGCAUAAUCUCUUCGGAGCAAAGAGGGGGACCUUCGGGCCUCUCGCGUCAGGAUUAGCCCAGGUGGGAUUAGCUUGUUGGUGAGGUAAUGGCUCACCAAGGCAACGAUCCCUAGCUGGUCUGAGAGGAUGAUCAGCCACACUGGAACUGAGACACGGUCCAGACUCCUACGGGAGGCAGCAGUGGGGAAUAUUGCACAAUGGGGGAAACCCUGAUGCAGCCAUGCCGCGUGUGUGAAGAAGGCCUUCGGGUUGUAAAGCACUUUCAGUAGGGAGGAAGGUAGUGUAGUUAACACCUGCAUUAUUUGACGUUACCUACAGAAGAAGCACCGGCUAACUCCGUGCCAGCAGCCGCGGUAAUACGGAGGGUGCGAGCGUUAAUCGGAAUUACUGGGCGUAAAGCGCAUGCAGGCGGCCUGUUAAGUCAGAUGUGAAAGCCCGGGGCUUAACCUCGGAAUUGCAUUUGAAACUGGCAGGCUAGAGUCUUGUAGAGGGGGGUAGAAUUUCAGGUGUAGCGGUGAAAUGCGUAGAGAUCUGAAGGAAUACCAGUGGCGAAAGCGGCCCCCUGGACAAAGACUGACGCUCAGAUGCGAAAGCGUGGGGAGCAAACAGG